rnacentral:misc_RNA from 1 species
UUCAAAACCGCGGUGGCACCU